rnacentral:rRNA from 1 species
GACGUAGGAUGCGAGCGUUGUCCGGAUUUAUUGGGCGUAAAGAGUUCGUAGGUGGUUCGUUAAGUCUGGUGUCAAAGACUGGGGCUCAACCCUGGGAUCGCACUGGAUACUGGCGGACUGGAGUGUGGUAGAGGCAAGCGGAAUUCCCAGUGUAGCGGUGAAAUGCGUAGAUAUUGGGAAGAACACCGGUGGCGCAAGCGGCUUGCUGGGCCAUAACUGACACUGAGGAACGAAAGCUAGGGGAGCGAAUGGG